rnacentral:rRNA from 1 species
UAACGCGUGGGCAACCUGCCCUCCAGUUGGGGACAACAUUCCGAAAGGGAUGCUAAUACCGAAUGUGCUCCCUCCUCCGCAUGGAGGAGGGAGGAAAGAUGGCCUCUGCUUGCAAGCUAUCGCUGGAAGAUGGGCCCGCGUCUGAUUAGCUAGUUGGUGGGGUAACGGCUCACCAAGGCGAUGAUCAGUAGCCGGUCUGAGAGGAUGAACGGCCACAUUGGGACUGAGACACGGCCCAAACUCCUACGGGAGGCAGCAGUGGGGAAUCUUCCGCAAUGGACGAAAGUCUGACGGAGCAACGCCGCGUGAGUGAUGAAGGUCUUCGGAUUGUAAAACUCUGUUGUUAGGGACGAAAGCACCGUGUUCGAACAGGUCAUGGUGUUGACGGUACCUAACGAGGAAGCCACGGCUAACUACGUGCCAGCAGCCGCGGUAAUACGUAGGUGGCAAGCGUUGUCCGGAAUUAUUGGGCGUAAAGAGCAUGUAGGCGGGCUUUUAAGUCUGACGUGAAAAUGCGGGGCUUAACCCCGUAUGGCGUUGGAUACUGGAAGUCUUGAGUGCAGGAGAGGAAAGGGGAAUUCCCAGUGUAGCGGUGAAAUGCGUAGAUAUUGGGAGGAACACCAGUGGCGAAGGCGCCUUUCUGGACUGUGUCUGACGCUGAGAUGCGAAAGCCAGGGUAGCAAACGGGAUUAGAUACCCCGGUAGUCCUGGCCGUAAACGAUGGAUACUAGGU